rnacentral:rRNA from 1 species
CCUACGGGGUGCAGCAGUGAGGAAUAUUGGUCAAUGGGCGCGAGCCUGAACCAGCCAAGUCGCGUGUGGGAAGACGGUCCUAUGGAUUGUACACCUCUUUUGUCGGGGAGCAAAAGACGCCACGCGUGGCGUUCCGCGAGUACCCGAAGAAAAAGCAUCGGCUAACUCCGUGCCAGCAGCCGCAGUAAUACGGAGGAUGCGAGCGUUAUCCGGAUUUAUGGGGUUUAAAGGGUGCGCAGGCGGAAGAUCAAGUCAGCGGUAAAAUUGAGAGGCUCAACCUCUUCGAGCCGUUGAAACUGGUUUGCGUGAGUGGGUGAGAGGGAGGUGGAAUGCGUGGUGUAGCGGUGAAAUGCAUAGAGAUCACGCGGAACUCCGAUUGCGAAGGCAGCAUACCGGCGCUCAACUGACGCUCAGGUACGAAAGUGUGGGUAUCGAACAGGAUUAGAUACCCGGGUAGUC